GCCUUCUUUUCUUGGGCGGCUGUUCUGACUCGUCUGGGUCUCCCUGACUCCGAAACGCUGGCUCUAGGCCGAGCGACUGUCCUGUUAGGUCCUAGAAGAGUCGUUUUCCGCGUGGCGCAGAGGCGGGCCUGAGGUUCGCCACUCGGCACGGGCUUCCCUGCGCCCGGCCUGGGAUGGAGACCGCGGCGCCCGCGGCCCCCUCUUCUCCCGCCGCUCCGCCCGCAGAGCCCGAUGGCGGCGGCCGCGCGGAGGACCCGCCUCAGAGGUCUCCCGUGAGAAGGGCAUUUCCCUGUGCCGAGUGUCCCAGGCAGGACUCCUAGGGCAGAUCCAUCAUUCAUGAAGAGCCACCCCUGUGAAAUGUGUGGCCUCACAGACAAUUGGCACUUGGAUGAGCAGCAGCCAACACAUGACAGGCAGAAACUGCACAGAUUUGUAGAAAUGGAAUUGCUGCAAAAAAGUACUGCAUGUUCAUGCUGGAUAUGACAAGCUUCCUUUUCUAGUUUGUUCCAGUUUAUACUCAAACCAACAGGAAAUCAUGACCGCAGGGAUGUGGCAUCGUGCUCAGGACGAACGAGGGCAGUCUCUUCCCAGGUCCUGCAGAGGAGCCGUGGAGCCUGCUGCGUACAACUGUUGAGGGAUCAUCCUCAUUCCAGACACGCUGGACUCACAGGACGAGGGGGCAGGAUGCUGCAACCGACUGCUGGGCACGUGCCUCUCAGGACAGCAUCCGCCUGACCCACCACUGUGGCUGGGAAGGAUGAGCAGGUACAGAACUUCUCACAGUCCUCAGGCCUGUGUCCUGGGUCACUGCAGGCCUCCUCAGUGGACAUCAGCCAAAGACACUGUGGGUCACUGCAGCCUGUCUGGCUCUGGCUCUUCCCCUCAGGACCAGUGCUUUACAGGAGGUGUGCAGGAGAAGGAGGGAGAGCUUAGUCCAGCCUGCAUUUAUGUGGCACAGCUGGGAACAGCCUCCGCUGCUCCCCAGGACUUGCUGCCCCUGAGGCGAGAGGGAGGCCCUGACUGGAGAGAGAAGGGUAUAUCAGCAUUAGUGUCACCAAAUCUCAUUUCCAGGAAAAAGAAGGAAUUCCAGGUUUUAAAGCUUCGAGAAGGUAUAAAUGACGUGCCGUGAACAUUAGUGUGGUAGGUUCUGACACUUACAUAAACUCAUGAAGUCUGGAUCACACAACGAAUCUCUUCAUGACCCCAUAUCUACCUUGCGUUUAUUUUUAAUCGCUGAAAGAUGGCUGAUUUCCAGUAUCGUGUUAGUUUUAGGUAUACAGGUGACUGUAUAACUGCAAGGUGAUUCCAUAUUUUUGAUUUUGUUCCAUUGCAGGUUAUUACAAGAUACUGAAUAUAGUUGCUGCGCUGUGCAGCAAACCUUUA